GACAAACUCCGAAUGCCAAUUAAUUUAACUUGGGAGUCAGAACAUGGGUGAUAAGGUCCGUGUUCGAAAGGGAAACAGCCCAGACCACCAGCUAAGGUCCCAAAAUAUAUGUUAAGUGGAAAAGGAUGUGGCGUUGCCCAGACAACUAGGAUGUUGGCUUAGAAGCAGCCAUCAUUUAAAGAGUGCGUAAUAGCUCACUAGUCGAGUGACACUGCGCCGAAAAUGUACCGGGGCUAAACAUAUUACCGAAGCUGUGGAUUGUCCUUUGGACAAUGGUAGGAGAGCGUUCUAAGGGCGUUGAAGCAUGAUCGUAAGGACAUGUGGAGCGCUUAGAAGUGAGAAUGCCGGUGUGAGUAGCGAAAGACGGGUGAGAAUCCCGUCCACCGAUUGACUAAGGUUUCCAGAGGAAGGCUCGUCCGCUCUGGGUUAGUCGGGUCCUAAGCUGAGGCCGACAGGCGUAGGCGAUGGAUAACAGGUUGAUAUUCCUGUACCACCUAUA
rnacentral:rRNA from 1 species